GUUUUUCGUCCUCUUGUCUUCUCUUCUCGGUCUGAGCAUGUUGUGUCUCAGAGGUGAAGAGUCCAAUGAAGAACAUUGGAUACCACGAUGAUCUAUUGGUGCCUAAGUGGAUGACACAUGAAAGUAGCAGUAAGGCCUGCCUUUCCCCCCUGAAAGAAUGCUGUGCACAUAACGAUAAAGGAUAGUCUGGAGGUGCAGCAGUGCUGACUUAAUGGUCAUAGUGGGUCAUGACAUGGUACCACAAGCCAUGCUGCCAAUGAGAAAUUGGAUACCGCUGAUCGAUUGGUGUCCUGUCCAUAGCGGAUGUAAUAUUAAAGUAGCAGAAUGAUUGCUGCCUUUCCUCCCUGAAAGAAUGCUGUGCAGUGUGCACAUAAUGAUGGAGCAUAUUCUGGAGGUGUAGCAGUGCUGAUUGGUCAUAGUGGGGGUGACAUGGAGCCACGAGUCAUGGGUUGGCACUUUUUUUUUGUGCCAUUCAUUGACAGAUGGGAGAGGUGCUGAAGAAUGAAUCAACGUUGUGGCCCGUUUCAUUUGAAGAUGCAAGGUGACAGUAAUAACUUGAGCCUUAAUAGAAGAAAGCAGAUCGUUCAGUCACCGUUCCUACCGGUCCUAGACUAAGGCGACAUCUGAUUCUACAUGAAUGCAGCUGCCACUUUAUUAUAAAAAUGUAAACUGCAUUUAAUGGCGAUCACACUAAAACCCUUUUGACUCUGUACCAUAGUGACCUAUAAUAUGCCAUUUAGCAGACGCUUUUAUCCAAAGCGACUUCCAAAGCGACUUACAGUCAUGCGUGCAUACAUUUUAUGUUUUAUUAGUCUUUGAGCCUAUUUCACCAUGUACCCUAUAUUGGUUUUCAAUAAAAAUGCCUACCUUGUAUCACUUUCAAAUAAACUCGAGCUGAUCUCA